CUUUAGCCCUGAUCGAAGUGGAAAUCCUUUUUAUUUUUUCUUUAAAAAUAAAAAGAUUACAGCGAAGAGCAGGAACCAUC
rnacentral:sRNA from 1 species